rnacentral:rRNA from 1 species
AGUGAACGCUGGCGGUAGGCCUAACACAUGCAAGUCGAACGGCAGCACAGUAAGAGCUUGCUCUUACGGGUGGCGAGUGGCGGACGGGUGAGGAAUACAUCGGAAUCUACUUUUUCGUGGGGGAUAACGUAGGGAAACUUACGCUAAUACCGCAUACGACCUACGGGUGAAAGCAGGGGAUCUUCGGACCUUGCGCGAUUGAAUGAGCCGAUGUCGGAUUAGCUAGUUGGCGGGGUAAAGGCCCACCAAGGCGACUAUCCGUAGCUGGUCUGAGAAGAUGAUCAGACACACUGGAACUGAGACACGGUCCAGACUCCUACGGGAGGCAGCAGUGGGGAAUAUUGGACAAUGGGCGCAAGCCUGAUCCAGCCAUACCGCGUGGGUGAAGAAGGCCUUCGGGUUGUAAAGCCCUUUUGUUGGGAAAGAAAAGCAGCAGGUUAAUACCGCGCUGUUCUGACGGUACCCAAAGAAUAAGCACCGGCUAACUUCGUG